rnacentral:rRNA from 1 species
CAGUCGCCGCGGUAAUACAGAGGAUGCAAGCGUUAUCCGGAAUGAUUGGGUGUAAAGCGUCUGUAGGUGGCUUUUCAAGUCCGCCAUCAAAUCCCCGGGCUCAACCCUGGACAGGCAGUGGAAACUACCAAGCUGGAGUACGGUAGGGGCAGAGGGAAUUUCCGGUGGAGAGGUGAAAUGCGUUGAGAUUGGAAAGAACACCAACGGUGAAAGCGCUCUGCUGGGCCGACACUGACACUGAGAGACGAAAUCUAGGGGAGCAAAUGGGAUUAGAUACCCCUGUAGUCCCUGUCUCUUAUAC